UUUUUUUUUUUUGGUUUCCCACCCGGUGUUCGGUACUCACAUUGGAGCCCGACUAAAUCCGGAUUUGCGCCGGGAAUAUCCUAGAAUUAAUUAGCAGUGUCAACUUCCAUCUUUAAUUGCUAUAUAUAGGGAUUGCUAGAAGUCAAGGCAACAAUGUCAAAGUAGUGUUUAAUGUCUGGGCCAGCUUCGUUUAUUUAUUCAACUCAUUGUAUGGUUGCAAUUCCAAACUCAUUGUAUGGUUGCACUUCCAAACUCAUUGUAUGGCUACAAUUCCAAAAAUCCAUUGACAAGAAUCAUGUUACAUUGAACAACAUAUUUGGUUGAUUUUUUUUUCUUUUUUCAACAUAAGACAGAGAGUUUUUUAUACUAAUAUCAAACAUACACAACUCCUCACUAUCCUCUCUUUAAAACAAUCAGGAAAGCCUGCAUUUUAAAUAGCAGAUGGCGACUGAAAUGGAACUAGCAAAACAGAGUGUACCAAUUAACAAGAUACCAAAACACUCCGUUGAUUGAGUGAUGAGAGUCUUAGUUAUACGAAGGGGGUGCAAUAAUACCUUACAAGAAUACAAGGCAUGAAGAGACUUUCUGAACGAUAAUAAUUAUUGAUGAAGAGGUAAUAACAUUGACACUUUUACUUAGCUUAAACUAUCGUUCAUGUUUACUAUACUUUUGCCAUCACCCGUUUAUCAAUACUAGGGGACAAAGAUUCAAGGAACACUAUUUAAUAAGCAUAUCGAAACAAGGAAGGACUUUCUGAAGCCAAAUAAGAGUGACUCCAUUGUAAAUGGUCGUUUAGAUCGGGUCCAUCCCAACUACUCUUCUGUGCAUGAAGAAAUGGAACUGUUCUUUACAGAUAACACAGUCAUAAAGUAGACUGACCAUGACGUUUCAACACAAAAAUUCUCUGAUGGAUUUGCAUUAAUGGAACAUGCCGAGAAAUUGCCAAAUGGUGGUAUAUUCGGUAAGUAUUUGCAUGAUUUACUGCUUAUUUCCAUGCAAAAAUACAUAACAAAACUAUCAUUAAUUAACUAAUUGGCCUUUUACCAGACUUGAUUUGCUUGUUCGUUACGGUAAAUCCCCUCAUUGAAAAAGAAUAUAGCAAAAGACGAGAAAUUGUGGUUACUAAUGAACUGUAAGUUGCAAUGAUGCGUACUCCACCAUCUAUAGAGAUAUGGUGAUGUAUUCACUAAACUCGUCUAACUUAUAAUCCAACAUGGAGCAGAUUACGCAGAAUAUGACGGUGCAUUUUUGGAGAAGUUGAAAGAUGAUACACCUUUUCUUGGUUGUGUGACGUUAGAGUCUCAAUCUAUAAAGGUAUCAUACAGUCUAUUGUAUGUGUUUAUAGGAAAUAUAUUUGUUGUUUCAUAACUUUAUUAUGCUCUUAUUACACUAGGGACUAUUGGGAUAUAUGUGUUGAUCAAUCCACUGUUUCAAACAGCAUUAGUACUUCUAAUGAAACUUACAUUAGUUCUAUUCAUAGGUUCGAGGGAAGAAGAGAUGACAUGACCACCACUAGACAACUACAAAUAUUUAGUAGUUCAAAAUAAGUGUAUUUUUCAAAUUUCAAAUAUUUUGGAUGAAAACUAGCUGCUGGAUUUCUGAAACGCAAAAUCUUUUAUUACCAUAUAUAUCUUGAAAUAGGGUGAAACUUUGCUUUUAAUGUUAAACUACAUUAAAGGAAUGAAUAAUGUUGUGCAUUCCCAUAGUAAUUAAGCCCUAAGAUUAAUUCUAUUUUACAAGUUCUUGUAAUAAGUAGGAAAAGCUCUCAAUAGUCCUUUGACAAGCCUCAGAAUAUAGGAAAAGAAGGACGAUCCCAUAGUACCGGGCUCGGAAACCUACACAAGUGUAGAACCAAGGAGUGAGUAUCAACAAUACCGUACCCAACAAGCAACCUAAUAAACAAAUCAGCCUAACUAGGAAAUGAAUACUCCUUUCAUCCCAACCGAACCUCCUCAACUACAAUCUGCACAGAAAUCAGCUUACAGUUCUACAAUAUAAAGUUCAAAAGGCUCAAUAAUCACAACACAAUAGUCACAAUUCAACACACAUCAAGUAAGUCAAUAUCAAUGUCAAGUAGAUCAUACACACGUAACAAGUGCAUCAAUCACAAUUAACAAGUCACACAUAAGCAUCAAAAUGCAUCAAAUAACCAUAGUCAGUUUCUCGCCGGAACCAUUUCUCAUUGGCACAAUAUCACUAGCCGGAACCAUUUUCCAUCUACUUUAUAUCAAAUCACUAGCCGGAACCAUUUCCCAUCAGCUUUAUAUCAAAUCACUAGCAAGAACCAUUUCACAUCGAUUUUAUAUCAAAUCAUUAGCUAGAACCAUUUCCCAUCGACUUUAUAUCAAGUCACUAGCCAAAACUAUUUCCCAUCAACUUUAUAACACUUGUCGGAAAUGAUCUCGACAUCAUAAACACUUGCCGGAAAUGACCUCGACAUCAUUACCCUCACAUGUCUCAUCAUGGUGUUCAACAAUCAAUGCACACAAGCAAUAUCACACCACACGGAAGAAGCAACAAUUCAUGCAAUUCAAGUCCACUUUCAUGCAUUCAAGCAAUUUAUCAACCAAUCAAAUAGGGGUCAUCUAAGUUGGAAAUUUGUGAAAUUUUAGCCUUUGGGUUGACUUUGGUCAACAUUCGGUGUUCGGAUGCUCAAAUCAAAAUUUUGAGAGUUUCGUUGAAUUUGGCCUAUGUGAGGUCUUGGUUGAUUUUUCAGAGGUCCCGAGCUUGAGAUAGCUUUUUUAGGAAUUAUGUUCAUUUCUAGGGACUUCCACGAGUUUUGGGUCAACGAGACCUCAGAUUCGUGUUUCGACAUCUCUAUCGAGUCUGAAACGUCGAGUUUAGUCAAUUAGAAUAUAUGAUUUGUGUGUACUGGGUUUUGAACGAAUCUCGAGGGUCCAUUUGGAGACUUUAGCAAAAACUAGUAGAUCAUGAUCGCUAUUAAUACAUUUACGCGAUUUUCAAUAAUUUUAAUAAAUAAGAUUUACGGGCCUCACUUUUAAAUUAAAAAAUAAUUAUUUAAAAUAAAAAAAGUUAGAACAAAAAAUUACUAUGUAACUAUUCUUCUAUAUAAAUAAAAAGUCAAUAACACAGAAAGGACAACUUAAUUAAGGAGUGAAAUUAGAAAUCUAAUCGUAAAAUGGCAAAAUUUCAAAUGUUCAUAACUUUGGCCUCGAAUGUCUGUUUUAGGCAAAAAAAAAUUGAGUUUGAGUAAUUUUUCGCGUAAUUUCUAAAAGUUGGCUCGUAAAUGUAAAAAUAUGUCUUAAAAUGGUGGGACAAUACGUAAUGCUCCCCCAACUCAUCACGUAGGUCCUCAUAAAGUUUUUUCAGGAAAAAAUUCUGGGUGCCACAACCCACAAGGUGCCAAAUCCAUGGGUAAUACACACGAAAAACUAAGAAAGUCGCGUAUUUCCUAAAAAUUGGCUCGUAAAUACAAAAAUAUGCCUUAAAAAUGGUGGGACUAUAUGUAAUGCUCCCCCAACUCAUUACGGAGGUCCUCAUAAAAAUAAUUCAUAAAAAAAAAAUUGGGUGCCCCAAGGCGCCAAAUCCAUAGGCUAAUACACAAAAAAAAAUAAGAGAGUUGCCACUACAAGAAAAUGUACUUAAAGCUACAAAACACAUUGUAGCUAAAUAUAAAAUUUUCCGUAGCUAAACACUUUAGCUACAUUAUUUUUUUCGUAGCAUCCGUAGCAAGAUGUAGGGUGGCUAAAAGUUAGCUACAAACUUUACAUGGUCUGUGGCUAAAAAGUUAUACUUCUAGCUACAGAUUAAAAAUUGUAUGUAGCUGCAAUAGAAACAAGUUUCUGCCACAAAAAUAAACUUAUGGCAAGUUAUCUUACUCUUGUGCCACUACAAAUAAAUUUAUAGCUAUAUUUAUAUAGUAGCCACAAGGUGUUGUAUUGUAGCAAAAGAUCUAAUUUAUUUGACACAGAAAUUUGAAUUUUGUAGCUAGUUCUGUAACUUAUCUCGUGGCAAUAGUAUCAUAUUUAGUUAUGAAUUAUAAAAAUUCAUAGCUAUAACUCAAUGUAUUUGCCACAAAUAUUUUCAUAUUGUAGCUAAGAAUUCAUACCUUUAGCCAUGAAAUAUAUAGCAUUGAAACUAAAUAAAAAUUAUUUGCUACGAAAAAGUAUUUUUUUAGCCAUGUUCUUUAUCCGUGGCAAUUAUAGGAGCAUAUGUAUACCUACGAAUUUAAUAUUUGACAACUAAAUUUUCACACCUCAUUGUCACAAGAUAUAAAUUGUAGCUAAAAGUUCUUCAUUUGAUAUGAAAAUGUGUAUAAAUAAUAUUUCCGUGGCAAUUAUACAUGUUUUGCAGCAAAUUCAAUAAAAUUAUAGCUACCAAUUCAUAUAAUGUAGAUAAGAUUUAACACAAAAUUUAUAAAAGAUAGUGCAAAAUAUAAUAAAUUGUUUAUUGUAUAUAAUGUAUUAAAAAAAUACUUAAUAAAGAUUCAACAAUGUCUUCUAAAAUAGUGAAACAUCAUUUUACUCAAACAUAUCAAUAUUCUUUUACAAGAGAAAAUAAUUAUCCGUAUCACAUCAAUUUUGAUGCUUUCAUCACUCCUUCACAAGCUGCAAUAACAGUUAAAAAAUUAAAGUAAAAAUAAAAUAAUGACAUAUUCAAUUUAAUUAUUAGUAUAACUUUUCAAAUAAAACAAAUAUUUACUAAAUUAAUGAUAUGGAAAAAUAUAUAUUUUUUAAAUUACUUACGGUUAUAAAAUCUUUUGAGUGUCAACCUUGAGCUGCAACCAUCAUUUGAAAACUAUAUAAAUAACAUCAAAUAUAAGUGUCUAUAAAAGUAAAAUAAGAUCAAUAACAAUAACGAAUACUUGUUGAAUUUGAUGAUUCAUGUUCUUUCAUAUUUGCAAUCUCUUUUUGACACAUGAUUCCUAAGAAUACUUUUCUCAAGAAAAGUUAUUAUAAAAAUAUCACAAUUCUUUGGUAAUGUGUAAAUUUGGACAGAUUUUCCUUAUGCAAUUUAUAAUUAAUAGUCAUGCUCAUAACAUUUGAAUCAUCAAAACAUUCCGAUAAUCCAUCAUAAUCACGAAUAGUCCUAUCAUCUCUCAUAUAAAAAUAAUAAUUUCCUUCCAAAAUAUCAAAUUCUAGUGAAAUAAAAUUGGAGCAAUCAUAAACAGAACACAAAAAAAGAAAAUAAUAUACUCCACAUGAAGAGUAAUUAGAAAUAAAACAUGGCUAUAAUAUCAUCUCAUUGAAUAAAAAAAUAUUAUGAAAGUGAAAGAAAAAAGAAAAUUAAAAAAAAAAGAAGAAUGUACUUGGCUAAGGUGAAAUCUCACAAAUCAAAAUAGUACUUUGUUAAAUCAUGUACUUAAAAGCAGGCAAAGAAAAAAGUUACUCAUACAAUUUAUUUUUGCAGUGACUUGGAAACAAAAGUUGAAAUUGGGAUGUAUAUUAAAAAAUAUAGGAGAAACUGACGUGUGGGUUGAUUUUCUUCCUUUCGGGGGAAAGCUUUUUUUAGGGAUUUUGACUUAUUAAAAUAGGAAAAGAGAGCUAAUUUAGGCAGAAAAUAAUGAGAGGGAAAUAACUUGGAGGGAAAUCUUUUUGCCUUUGUUUUGAAUUUCGGUGCUACAAAUUACUUGCUGUUUUUUAAAAAUUUGAUAUAACUCAUUAUUUUUUUCAUAAAUUAGAAGAUUUUUUUUGUGAAUUCAUCCAUUUCCCUCCUAAUAUUCAGAACAAUAAGAAGGUUUUAAUAGAAUUAAAUUAUAUUUAAAACUUAAAAUCAUUAUCUAAAAGAAUUUGAAUUAGCUACGAACUUUGUCGCAUUUAUUGCUUUUUUUCUCGUAGCUAAAAGAAUUUUGUUGUCAAUUCAAUGCUAAAUAUUAUUAAUGAUAGGUUUUUCUAUUUGAUUAUAAUAUUUGUUUGUCGCUAAAUCUUAUUUUUUAGUAGUGAUUAAUUAUGUGGGUAUAUAAUUUGGCCAUGAUUUGUUAUAAAAUUUGAAAAAAGUACUUUUUAUUUUUGAAGUUAUAUUUGAAAGGAAAUUUGUGUUUGACCAUGAAUACAAAUUGAAAUUGUUUUUGACUUUUUAUGAGUAAUUUGGAGUGAAAAGGAUGAAAAGACUUUUUUGUUGUAUCCCCAAUUCUUCAAAAUUCUAGAAUUCAAGUUGAAUUUCGAAAUUUUAUGACCAAACGUGAUUUUCGUAGUUCAACUUUUGGAGAAAGACAAAAAUUCAUGAUCAAACACUUAUAAUUAAGGUCAUAUAAAAUUAAUUGAAUCUAAAUUUUAUAUAAACAUCUAAUUACAUUAAAUCUGUUGAGAUUAUUCUAAAAAAUAAAGGUCCAAGUCAGAUUACAAUUUUCAUGUAGUGCUUGUUUAAGAUAACAGAUGAACGACCCUGGUUAUUGGUGAACUUUGUUUAAAUUGUAUUUGAAACUUACUAGAUAUAAUAAGAAAUAAUAAUAAUAAUAAUAAUAAUAGCAACAGUGUAAUCUUAGUGAAAUUUUGAGAGGGUGAUGUAUAUAUAACCUUAUCUGUGAAGAUAGAGAAUAUUUUCGAAAGACUUUUAGCUCAACUAAAAAAAUACAAGUUAAGUUUAGAAAAAAAAUACACUAAUGAAAAAGUCAUAUUGAGAAUAAAAAAGAACAAUGCUAUCUAUUUAACAUUUAUUUAAAUUAUAUUUGAAACUUAAAACUAAAUCGACUAGAACAAUGUACACCUAUUAUUAUACAACGAUAUAUUAUUUUGAGAAAAUAAGUUCGAGUCAAAUCUAACAAUUCUCAAAGUACUUGAAGAAGAAGAAAUUUGAGGUGAAUUAGUGAAGUUAAUUUUGUUUAAAUUUAAUAUAGGUAAUCAACCAAAAUUAGUUAAACAUAACUCUUUUUUAUUAAUUUAUAUUUAAAACUUAUUUAUUAAGAUCUUUUAAGAUAGAAUAAUUAACAUCUCUAAUUAAGAUAGCUAGAUAAGUGUAUUGUUUGAUAAAAGAGAUGUGACUCAAAUAACAAUUUUUGAACACAACAUAAAGUACCUCAAAACUUAUGUUUCAUCUCGUAUUACAUAAAACAUCUCAUCUUAAUUGUGCUCAUGUACUUUACAAACCUUAGUUAAAUUCAUAAUAAAUUAUAUUGUAUUUAUCUUCUUUUUUUGUCAAUUGUUAAAUUAUUGUAAUUAAAUUGAUAAUUAUGGAAUUUGAACAAAAGAAAACUACAUGUAUCAUUCACUUUAUUUAGUCCACUUUGGACGUUACACCUCUAUAAAAAUGACGAUUGGUAUGACUAUUUUACAAGAUAUCCAUAUAUUAAUUGAUGUUAGUUCUUGAAAAAUAAUUUUAAAAAUAAGUAAUUAAUUACUUUUAAUGUGAUUUUCUUAUUAACAUCCACGGUUUGGUGCAAAACUUGUUUCCUUUCCUCUUUAAGUUGUGGUACUCUUCAUAUUUGUGUGUCUCAUGUUUAUAUUAUUUCGUAAUGACAAAUAAUUAUAAUUACUAAGUUAAUUAUUGCCACAAUUUUUGAUACUCAAAAAAUAUUUAUUUAACUAUAGUAUUUUAUUUUAAAUUAUAUUUUAUGGAUAAAAGGUUAUUAUUGCUCCAACUAGUUUCAACACGAUGGCGGAAAAAAUUAUAAUUAAUUAUAAAUUUUAUUAUAGAAAAAAAUCAACGACUGUAUCUUUUAAUAUGCCACAAAUUUUAUAACUUGAAAAAAAAUAUCUAUUCUGCUAUUAAUUUUUCUUCAAAUAGUUUAUGGUGGUUAAAAUUUAUCACUACUAUGGCAAUUUCACAUUCGUGGUAAAUAUUAACAAUUAGUUACGAAAUUUUAUUUUGGCAAAAAAAUUAUGGCUAUUUCAUUUAUUUAUCGCCACAAUCUUUAUAAACUGAAGCAAAAUUAUUUAUUUAGCUACAAAUAUUUCUUCAAAUAACUUAUGGUGGCUAAAAGGUUGUUAUCACUAUCGUAAAUUUAAACUCCCGGUAAAAAUUAACAAUUAGCUACGAAAUUUUAUUGUAACAAAAUAUCUAUGGCUACUUCGUUUAAUUAUUGCCAUAAUAUUUUAUAACUCGAAGCAAAUAUAUUUAUUAGCUACAAUAUUUUGUUUCAAAUAACUUAUUGUGGCUAAUGAGUUACUAUUGCUACAAUUACUUUUAUCGUGUGGCAAAAACUUAUAUUUAGCUACAUAAUUUUAUCGUAGCAGUAAUAUUAUAGCUAUUUAGGUAAUUAUUGCCACGACAAUUGAUAAUUAUAGAAAAAACUAGAUUUUAGCUUUAUCAAUUUAAUAUUCGUGGCUAAGAAAUUUGAUGAAUUUUUAGAUAGCCACGAAAUUUGAANNNNNNNNNNNNNNCCCUCUGUCCCCUCUCCCAGAUCUUGUUUGCCACUCUCCCAGAUCUCGCUCGCUCACUCGCCUCUCUCACUUUAUACAAUUGAUCUUUUUGUAUAUGUAUAUCAAAGCAGAUUAUACAACUGCUUUCUUUUGUAUAUGUAUAGUGAAAUAUAUAUAUUUAUGUUUGCUAUGGUGUAAACUUUGCUAUAGCAUACAAAUAUGAAUUUUGUGUUUGUUAUAUGUGAAAGUUGCUCGAAUAAGCUCUAAAAUUUAUCACUACUAUGGCAAUUUCACAUUCGUGGUAAAUAUUAACAAUUAGUUACGAAAUUUUAUUUUGGCAAAAAAAUUAUGGCUAUUUCAUUUAUUUAUUGCCACAAUCUUUAUAAACUGAAGCAAAAUUAUUUAUUUAGCUACAAAUAUUUCUUCAAAUAACUUAUGGUGGCUAAAAGGUUGUUAUCACUAUCGUAAAUUUAAACUCCCGGUAAAAAUUAACAAUUAGCUACGUAAAUUUUAUUGUAACAAAAUAUCUAUGGCUACUUCGUUUAAUUAUUGCCAUAAUAUUUUAUAACUUGAAGCAAAUAUAUUUAUUAGCUACAAUAUUUUGUUUCAAAUAACUUAUUGUGGCUAAUGAGUUACUAUUGCUAUAGUUACUUUUAUCGUGUGGCAAAAACUUAUAUUUAGCUACAUAAUUUUAUCGUAGCUGUAAUAUUAUAGCUAUUUAGGUAAUUAUUGCCACGACAAUUGAUAAUUAUAGCAAAAACUAGAUUUUAGCUUUAUCAAUUUAAUAUUCGUGGCUAAGAAAUUUGAUGAAUUUUUAGAUAGCCACGAAAUUUGAAUUUUUGUGGCUAUUACUAAAUAAUAGCUACGAGUUUUAGAUUGGUAGCUUAGAUUCCAUAGCUAUAAAUACAUUUUCUUGUAGUGCCACUAGCUUAACUUAAGUAAUCAUCUAAAAAGUAUAACCCUUUAAUACCCAUGAUGGCUACAUGGUUUAUGGAGACUUGAGUUAAUAUGAACUCGCAUCCCUAUAUCGGUGCUCAAUACUACUCCCAAAAAUAUACUUAGCUCAUAUGUUUUUAAAACAACUUCUUUCUUUGGUUUGAGAUAAUUACUCAAAACUUAGCUUAAAAGUUCCCUUGGAAUCGAUGUUCCCUUUAUUACUCAAAACUCUUUUGGAAAUCUCAGUUUCCUCUNNNNNNNNNNNNNNNNNNNNNNNNNNNNNNNNNNNNNNNNNNNNNNNNNNNNNNNNNNNNNNNNNNNNNNNNNNNNNNNNNNNNNNNNNNNNNNNNNNNNUAAUAGCUACGAGUUUUAGAUUGGUAGCUUAGAUUCCGUAGCUAUAAAUACAUUUUCUUGUAGUGCGCGCAAUUCCUAAAAGAUGGCUCGUAAAUGUAAAAUAUGUCUUAUAAUGGAGGGACUAUACGUAAUGCUCCCCCAACUCAUUACAGAGGUCCUCAUAAAGUUUUUUCAAAAAAGAUUCCUAAGGGAGAUGCAACAACUCAAGCAAUUCAUGUUUACAUUAAUGCUAUCAAAGCAUUUCAUCAAUCAACCAAAUAGGGUCCACAACAUGGCAAUUCACAAAGCAUUAGGAUCAACACUUUGCCUUUUCAUUAAUCCUCUUUUUAUUUGUUAAGAUUAAUCAAGUGGAACAACGAACCAAUCACCUCAUUCACAUUACUUCCCAACACACACAAUGAAGGAAAAUACACGAUACUACUAGAUUUACAAGGUUUAAACGAUCACUUGUCUUAAUUCAAUCAAAUAGUCAAUCUAAGAGUUGAGUUUUCCCUUUCCGAACAACGUCCAAAGACACACAAUCUAUUUCAAUCAAGUAAUGACAAUAAGAUUCGGGAAAUAACAAUAUCCAUAUCAUAAACUUUGACAAAUGGGUCAAUCAACUCAAAAACCCAAUUCCAAAAAAAUUAGGUAUGAAUUCAAAAAUAUUUACUUGAAAAGGUUACUCACGAUAUUUGGAACUCAUUGGUGAAAACCAUUUCGAAAAAGGGGUUAAAAUCAGUUCACAAUCAUUGUUUUAGUUUAGACCUCAAGUUCUUGGAAAACCUUGCAAUUUGUCAAUCAAAAUUCCAAGUUUUGAUGUUAAAAUCUAUAAAUAAUCAAAGGGAAAUGAAGUUUUAGGGUCACAAAAGAUUACCCAAAUGAUUUAGCACAAGAAAUCCCUUCAAAAUCGCCUCCAAGGAUUUUACAAAGCUCAAAAAUGAAAAAUGGGUGUUAAACCCUGAAUUUGCAGGUCUAAAGCCCUCUCAGAUAUCGCAAAAGCAAACUUUUGUUCGCAAAAGCGAACCUCAGAUAAAAUCCUCGGCCUUCGCUUUCACGAACUAGCCUUCUCUAACACGAAGGUCAUGAUCGUGAACAAGCUUUCGCUUUUGUGAAGGUCUAUCCACUUGACUAUUCGUGAAAGCAAAUAUGCCUUCACAAACGUGACCCUCGUGAAAACGAAGAUCAUUCGUGAUCAUGAGGUCAUCAGACACUAGAAAAACAACCAACUUUCAAAUCAUCGAAUGUACCUUCAGGAUUCACUCGGAACUCCAUACACAUAAAACAUAUAUGCAAAUUGACUAAACUCAACGUUACGAACUCAAUGGAACUGUGGAACAUGAAUCUAAGAUUUUCUUGACCCGACAUUCGUGAAAGUCACAAAAAAUUAGCAUAACGCCUAAAAAGGUCAAAUCAAGCUCGGGACCUCUGAAAAUUCAAUCAAGACCUUAGGCCAAAAAUCAUCCCCGAAUCCAGCGGAACUCCCGAAAUUCCGAUCCGAGCAUUCGAACCCCGAAUGUUGACCAAGUCAACCCAAAGACUAAAUUUUCAUAACUUUCAAAUUUAGGACCUCAAAUCCUCAAUAAGACUCUAAAUAUAAAAUAGAAAACUUUCAUAGAUCAAUUUCCACAUUUCAAAACUGAUGGAAUCGACGGAAUUCCAUUUCGACACUCGGACCUCUAAAAGACACCGAAAAUCAUUUUUAACAACUUUAGCCUUUUAAAAUAAAAAUUUACAAAAUUCUCAACUGUUUACUCAAUGUUCGAAACCAACUUUCAAAACUCAGUCAAAAAUGACUCGAUAUCAAUAUCGAAAGGGUUAAUUUCAUGAAAAAUUCCAAAAAUGAUCAACUAGUUCAUUACAAAAAGAAAUUACAAUCAACUCGGCACUUGAGUCUUCCCUUUACGACGAGUCUCCAAAUCCAAAGUAUCUAAUCAAAUGAAGAAUCAUAAUAAUAAAUCAUGAACAACAAACACUCAUAAAGUUGAUUUUGGAAACCGGGUCCAAAUCGACCCAAAAAGUAAUUUCUGAGGGUUGAGGGUUAAUAAAAAAUUCUUAAAGAAAAUCAUCAUACCCAAAGAUUUUGAAACUCACAAGUGAAAUUGUAACGAAAAAUGAUUUGAAAUCGUACUCAAAACUAUAGUUUACUAAAAACACAAGUUUAAGAGAAAACUCUUCAAUACUCGGGUCCGAAAUUCCGACUCAAAUAUAAAAUAUUUCUUGAAAAAUAUCUUAUUCAUACUUAGGGGAGUUCAAAUAUGAAAUUUCAUCGAGAAUAGAGUUAAAAUUGACCUUGAAAUCCUCAAUAUAUCAAACAUUAACUUUACUAUGAAAACCCUAUAUUCUCAAGCUUAUAUAUAUGAUGACAAUAGUUGAUGAAUCAACAAGUUUAUGUCAAAAUCAGUUUACCCAUAACAUAAGAAUCCUAAAUAUACAUUUUUCAUCAAAAACUGAGUCCAAACUAAUAAAACCUCAAAUUUCCCCCAAGAAAUUCACGGAUAAGGAAUGAAAAUUAUAAAAGAAAUCAUGAGAGAAUGUUGAAAUGAGGAUUGGAUACUAACCCCCAUAUUAAAUCGAGAAAAAUGUCGCAAGAAUCACUCCAUUUCAAGCUCUAGAGUUCCCAAUAUGCUCAAAAUAUCAAAUGAACACAGUCUGAAUUUUUAAAUACCUGAACAACAGUAUUUACACCAGAAACCAACAACUUUAAUUUUCACUAAGGGAGUUGUAACUUACUUAUACGAUAGUGAAAUGACCCAAUUCUUUUUUUAUUUAAAUGUCUUAAAUAAUGAUACGGGCCUGCUCGUUCAAUCGAAACUAAUUAUGUGCUCAUUUGCUUAAUCAAAUAUCAUUGCUACUCGGUAAAUAUUUAUUUCAUAUUUCGUGAUAAAAGCUCAAUCUCGCAUUAUCAAAAUUACACCAAACUUUACAAAUCAGUCGUAUGAUUCAUUUUCAGCUCAUAGAGGACAUGACCUUAGAUAGGAGGAAAUGAAAGUUGCGGAUAAGGAUAGUAGGUAGUUAAGAGUUGUCUUAUUACUAGCCUAUUCAAGUAUUUGGCUAGGUGGUAGUAUGGAGCACCUUGCAGUUGUUAUGGUUUCUUGCAUAUAUGUUUUGCACUGCCUUGCUUUGUACUAAUUGUAUUAUUGUAAUUCUUACUUUUGAUAUUCAGCAUCAUCAGUUGUUUACUGUGUUCCCAUUAUCGCACUAUUCAAGGAUCUAUCGAAAGUAGUGUCUCAACUUCCACGAGGUAAUGGUAAGGUUUGUGUACACUCAAUCCUCCCCAUACACUCUACCCUCCCCAAACCUCACUUGUGAGAUUUUACUGAAUAUGUUAUUUUUUCCACUUGGCCUCUUAUUAAAUUGAUCGAAAAAUAUUCAAACAUCAAACUAUAAGAAAUGGUUCCUGUUUCCGCCGGUAGUUCUAAGGGAACUUGGAUGCAGAUUCUUGCAUAACGUUCCCUCCCCUAAGAAGGGAUAUUGUACCUGUGUAUUUUAAGGAGAGAGCCAAGUACUUUUCCAAUGUUCUUCACAACACUAAUUCAUUGAUGGGAGUCCCAACUGUUUUUGUGUUGGGUAAGACAGAAAUAACAGCACUUAGGCAAAGAUUACUUGUAAAACUUCCAACUUUGCCUGUACUUGACAAGUCAAAAAGCCAAGAGCUAUAUGCACACUACACGCAUACAAAUGUCUCUUCACAUUAGUCACAAAUUGGUCCAGAAGCAAAGUAAAACUAACAAUUUUUAUCCAACAAAUUGAAAACUGAGAUUCUGAAGUUGACAGAAAUUUAGCAGUACCAGCCACACUUCACCGAAGGAAAGAAUACAGGUAAACAAAUGCAGUUUCUCUUGAACUUCGUUUACAGAAAGAAAAAAAAUUACUUUAGUUAAUAAUCUAUAGCAAAAAGCACACUAAGUUAACCUACAAAAAAUAACGCUAUCCAAGAAAAUAAGCUUAACGCCAUUGCAAGUUAGCAGCUGCUCUUUUCCAAGUAAAGCUACAUUUAGCUUAGAACUAGUGGCAAAUUUGCACAUCCAACAGUUUUGCUUGUAAGGAACCUACAAUGACAUUCUUUCAUGACUUCAACCCAACAAAAUAGGAGAUUUGGGAAAGGGUGAAGUAGAAACAGGGAGAAGGGAGCAAGAAUCCCACGCCAUCUGUCCACUCACGAAGACGUAAGUUGCUAUGUUGGUGAUCCUUUCAGGUACAUCUGGACCCUGACAUCAAAAGCAUGGACCUACACCUUUUUGAGGCACCUGGAAGUGAGAAAUGGUAGAACCUCAAGUUGCUUCGAAAGAAAGCCUUUCCCGAAAAGCAACCCAAAAAUGCUAGCCAAGAAACUACAUCUCCUGUUAUGACUUAUGCGUAAUACAUAUACAAGCUGUUUGCGGCAGCACAGGCUAUGGAAUUUUCAGUCGGAUGCCAUGCCAGAUGAAGCAGUUUUGUCGUGAAAUCAAAUGAGUUUCCAUUUGCAUCAACACUUGCAUUAUCUGCUCCU
rnacentral:lncRNA from 1 species